UGUGAAAAUCUAUUGUAGUGUAGUGUCACAUUGUUGGUACAUAAAAGGAUGCUGCAAUAAUGAGAAGAGAAAUAUAUUUUAGUACUGCUAGAUGGAUAAAUCUUGAUUUGAAAUGUUAGUAGCGAAUUCGUUCUUUUGCUCAUGAUGUGAUUUCUUUUGCUAGGACGAAUUAAGCCUGGGUAGAAUAGCAGAUGUGUGCAGGUUUGCCUAUAAUAAAUUAGUCCUGAACCAGCAGUCCAGGGUGCGGAAUAAGUUAAUCUUCACCCGAGGUAAUCUUACGAUCAUUUCAUAAUUAAAUUACAUUUGGAAUUCAAAUAGUUACAUUCCUAUUGAUUCGCUAGGUAAAAUUUGACAUAAGAAAAUAAAAAUAUAGGUCAUAAGACAAGAAUUUUUGCAGUUUAUGUGUAUUUUAGACUAUAUUUUUACGUUUGUAAUUUUACAUAACAUAAAAUAUUUUUUAGGCGUUUAUAUAUUUUUUUACGGUCCCUUUUUGCGUCAGAAAUAAGAUAAAACUUACGGAACAUAAAAUUACGGUGCAUUGAUGGUAAAAUAGAGGGGGGUGAAGAAUAACUAUUCCUCACCCAGGGGGACGAAUAGCGCAACCCUAUAUAUAGCACUAGAAAUAAUGUAUGAAACUGAUAUUCCUUUCAAAAGUUUUUUGUGCGUUGUGUCUCUUCUUCUACUUGAUUUUCUAUAUUUUUGUACCGAAAAUUUCUCUUCUAUUUGAUUAGGCUCAGUUAGUGACUUGUCUCAGGCAUUUUCAACAAGCAGGAGCACUUGUGAGCGUCUACAAUGAGGAGGUGACCAGUACACGAGCAAGUGUAUACCAUAGCAGGAGGUGUAGACAGAUGAACACAAUAUUCAGAUCGACCUGACCAUAACAAACUUUUGGCCACCAAUAUUUCGCAUCAAACAUCAGCAAAUUCUACAAAUACACAUAUCAGAAAGUUCUUUUAUUCAGUUACAUAACCUAGAAAGGUUAAACCAAGUCAUAGAAGCUCACUUUACAUAAUGAAUAGCAUCCACCGUGUAGUUAUCAAGGGUAUUGUUCUGACUGAGAAUCAGAAAAUCAAGAAUGAUAAGCAUAAUCAACUUUGUAGAUAAGCACCAAUAAUUCCAAGGAACCCAAAACUUCCAAUACCUGAACAAUCCAAACAGCAGCAAAAUAGCAAAUGACCAUUAGUUCAACAAAUGUCAAGUACUGAAAGGCCUAAUUUUGUUGAAAUUUCUGCCAUGGUUAAAUAAAACUUCUAAUUAGAAUAUUUAGAAAAAGUUGGAAUUGUCCAGGAACAGUAAAGUAUGUAUGACACCUAAUAAAUGUAAGGUUUCAGCAGAUAUGUUUUUUUAAUAACAAUUCAGGGUUAUGAUUCAUCAAAUGGAAGGGAGACACAACAAGUUGUAAAACAGUAUCCUAAUUUGGGAACUUGAAUCUGGAACAGGCGAAACCAAGGAAGGAAUCGUCCUACCAGAGAUUCAUCAUGGACUGCCUCUUGCUGCCACCGCUGGAUCAUUUGACCCGAUACCGUCUCCUACUUUCUUCAUCCUAGCAUCCUAGCUACUCCCGAUGUGGGGCGGAGAGCCGGGGAAGGAGGAGGGAGGUGGAAGAGAGAGGAGGAGACGGCGGAGGGGAUUUUUUCACGGCUGUGGAGACGAAGGAGGAGGGAGAUGGGAUGAGACUCGCACGACCCCUCUCUCCGUGUCAGAAGAAACACAACCUUCACAGUCUCACUCCAAUCUAAACAAGGGACAGACGUGUAGGACCAGCAGAAAACAAGCCCCACCUACCAUAGGUUAUGCAGCAGGAGCGAACGUCCACACCAGCCGCAGGACGCAUGUCCCACGCACGGCGCGUGCGGCGCGGCUGGGCAAACCCUCGCACGAUCGACGCAGUGUCAGUGCAGCCCCUCUCUCACGCAGACAAAAGGUAGUCAACCCACAGAUGUGUGGGGCCAGAAAUGAGUAAGG
rnacentral:lncRNA from 1 species